UACGAGUGGUGCUAGCGUUAUUCGGAUUUAUUGGGCGUAAAGGGUGCGUAGACGGUGCGACAAGUCUGUUGUUAAAUUCCUCGGCUCAACUGAGGACCUGCAAUGGAAACUGUCGUGCUAGAGGAUGGAAGAGAGAAGUGGAAUUCUUGGAGUAGCGGUAAAAUGCGUAGAUCUCAAGAGGAACACCGAUGGCGAAGGCAGCUUCUUGGUCCACUCCUGACGUUGAGGCACGAAAGCGUGGGGAGCAAACAGG
rnacentral:rRNA from 1 species